rnacentral:misc_RNA from 1 species
UAAGAACCUGGCAACGGUGGUCAAAAAGCGGGAAAAAAAACUGAGCAGACGACGUGGAAAUUUCAGAUUGAAACUAAAGCAAAAUUUGCUACAUUUUACAACUUUUAAUCUAAACAAUUGAAUUGAAAUGAGUGAAUACCCGCCCUACCUCUGCCCAUUAUGCGAGGAACACCACCACUAUCUGACUGAAAACUGCCACAAUGUAGAAGCUCAGGAGGAACAAGAAGAGGAGAACUCAGACGGGGAGCAAGAUUUUGACUGGGAGGAAGAAGGUCACCAACAAGAUUGGGGAGAAGAACUUUUCGAUGUCAAUUAUCACUAUGGAGAUGAAAUUCAAUGUUCAAGUGAAGAAAAAAACUAAGCAGACGACGUCGAAAUUUCAGAUUGAAAAAAAAAAGCAAAAUUCUGUGUCUCUAAAUCUCUAAAUCUGUCUCUAAAUCAACUAGUCAAUUGAAAUGAGUGACAUAUACGCUCCUUACAUGUGCACUGAAUGUGAUGAGUGGCAUCCCCACCUGACAGAACAAUGUCCGAACGUGCAAACUCAUGAGGGAGAAGAAGAAAUCAAUUCUGAUGGUGAACAGAACUUCGAUUGGGGGGAGGAUGGUGUCCAACAAAACUGGGAUGAAGAAACGGAAGAUUUUGAUCAUUACUAUGGUGAUGAUAUUGUUGUAGAAGAUUUCAGCGAUGAUGGGUUAGGAGACGUUGAAACUUCUUUUUCGACAAUUGAUCUGGACAGUGAAGAGGAUGAGGAUUUGGAUUUUGUUGAAGAGGAGGAAAUAAAAAGGAAACGAAUGAGCGACGGAGAAGGGCCGCAAUUUAAACGGCCAAAACAACUCAAGAUGAAGAGGAGGAAGAAAAUUCCGAUGGUGAGCAGAAUUUUGACUGGGGAGAUGAGAGUCAUCAACAAGAUUUUGGAGACGAAACCUUAGACCUCGAUGCUCGAUCAUCACUAUGGUGAUGAAAUUGCUCAAGAUGCUUUCAGUGAUGAUGACGGGUUGGCAGACCUAGACAUUUCUUUUUCUUCUACAAUUGAUCUCACAAUGGACGAGGAAAUUAAUUUGGUUGAAGAGGAGGACAAGAAGAGAAGAAUGAGUGAUGGUGAUGUCCCGAUGCAAUUUAAACGGCAAAAACUACACUAGUAGCCUACUGCUACAACUGUAGUAGUUUUCUACCAUUCCGUUGAGAAAAGACAUUACCCUAAUCCCCUCAGAAAUUCCAUUGUUUUUGUGUUUUUUCUUUCUCUCUCUUUUUUCACUACUAAAUCAUUUUCUCUCAAUAAACUUGUACUUUCUACCAUUAUUGUUAAAUCAAAUUUUGAGUUUAAAGAAACUUUUGAAAAACAAUUUCUCCCUUGUCUCCUUUUGGUCCAAUCGGCUUUUUUUCUUUGAAGAACUCGCAAUUAGAUGUAUUAUUUUAAUGCCUUGUAUGAAAUUACAAAUGAGUUUCAAAUAGUAAAUAACAUGUAGGCCUAUGCAAUAAAGUGGUUCUAUAUUUUUAGUGUGCUACUUAAACAUUUUUCUCGAGUUUCAGUUCGUUACUCAUUUAAGAUAUUUGAAUUAUACAUAAUAUGAAUUAUCUAUCUAAAUCAAAAAAUUUAUUCAAUUGCAUCACUACAACUGCAGUUGAAAGAGAUAAGACCUAUCACGAUAAUACCCAGUUAGUAUUCAACGACAAAAGUUAUGGUAAUUCACUAAUUCGUUGACAAUUGCCAAAACUACAUUUAGUUUAUCAAAUUAUGUCGUCACCAGCUUUUAUUAGUUCCGCUACAGCUUUAAGCAAUCGAAGCAAUCUCACAGAAAAAAUUCCUUGGAUUUACCCGUGGCAUGCCCAAAUGUUCAGAAUUUUAGUUAGAAAGUUUGACCAUUAUACUCGGAUUAGUCUCCAAUAAAUAAAGAUUUGAACUAUUAGACAGACGCAUAAACACGAUAAAAACAUUUUUAAACAACGGCCUUUUAAUCACACAACAACAUUCUUUUUCUUACUAAGUACAAGAAAUUUAGAGAAUAAGAUUCAAAAUACAGAAGAUGGUGGAUUCUUAAUUGUACAACGGUAUUACAGCGUUGUAGCUGAUUAUGAGUAGAGAGUACAGUUACCAUAUUAUGCUUGUAAACGACGGAAAGAGAAAUGUUUGCCAAACAAGAAAAGGUGAUAAUGUAGUAGUUAUUAACUCCAAACUAAAUUAGAAGUAGACUGCGAUAAACUGGUUAGAAGUAUAUAUUCCCAGAGCAGGAGGAUAGGAAAAGAAGAGAAACAUAAAGACGGGGAGAGAAGACAGAGAGUAAAACAUUUAGUCAGAAAUCAGAAAUCGGAUAAGCCAACAUUCCGAACCCGAAUAACACUCAGAAAUUUGUAAUUUUUUAUUUAACACGUGAUGUAAAAAUUGAUACGAUCCCGGAUGCUAAAUUUAAUGAAGCAAGAACACAACUUCUGAUCUUCAUAACAAAA